CCUACGGGUGGCACCAGUGGGGAAUCUUGCACAAUGGAGGGAACUCUGAUGCAGCGACGUCGCGUGAACGAUGAAGGCUUUCGAGUCGUAAAGUUCUGUCCUAUGGGACGAUAAUGACGGUACCAUAGGAGGAAGCCCCGGCUAACUACGUGCCAGCAGCCGCGGUAAUACGUAGGGGGCGAACGUUGUCCGGAAUUAUUGGGCGUAAAGGGUACGCAGGCGGCCAAAUAAGUCAGAUGUGAAAUCCCAAGGCUUAACCUUGGUAAGCAUUUGAAACUGUAUGGCUUGAGUUAAGGAGAGGAAAGUGGAAUUCCUGGUGUAGCGGUGAAAUGCGUAGAUAUCAGGAGGAAUACCAGUGGCGAAGGCGACUUUCUGGACUUAAACUGACGCUGAGGUACGAAAGCGUGGGGAGCAAACAGGAUUAGAUACCCUUGUAGUC
rnacentral:rRNA from 1 species